ensembl:snRNA U6 U6 spliceosomal RNA
GUGCUUGCUUUGUCAGCCUAUAUACUAAAAACUGGAACAAUAUGGAGAAGGUUAGCAUGGCCUGUGCAAGGCUAAUAUGAAAAGUCAUGAAGUGUUCCAUAUUUUU